GGACAUCUUCGAGUUAAACUCCCUCAACAAUUAAUCUGGACGGACAGACACAUCGUGAAAAACGUGAGAGUUUAUAAUUCCGACUCUACCGGUCGUUUUACGGAUUAAAUUAAUUCAAUGUUAGAUUAAAAGUCUGCAGCGCAGUGCUCCCCGUAAACCACUUGAUGGCGCCUCACGACCAUUGUUUGAGAUCAAAUUGAAGCGGGCCUGAUUUUCGAAACGGCAGCAGAGCAGACGCGCCAGGCACAGUUCUGGGAUGAGUAAUCUUCUUGAGGUACUCCGGCCUUCGAGUCCUCCCACGUUUCGAAAACAUCCAAGCUCUCCCAGAUCUCCUGCUGUGCUCUAAUAUAACUUGAGAAGAGGGCACAGAGGCCAGCGCCAUCGGUUGCUGUAAUGGUUGGGCGGAGCCUCUUGUGCGCACCUUGCCUGCCUUGCCAUCGGCUGGGCAAUUAAGCUCAGGAGUUUCUGGGGACAGAUGCCGGGCUAUUAUUCUACUCACCACCAGUUCCCUUGUUCCUGUUUUUCUAGUUGUGUAAUAAUCUGGUCGUUGUCUUCGUCGCUUCUCGGCCGUGUGUAAGUAGUUUAUUUUUGUGUUGUUCCUUGUGCAAUUGUUUCAGCCUGUCCUGUCGGUGUGCAAACUUGUGUCGGUUAACUUGCGUUCUUUUCUUUUAGUUUGAAGUACCCAGGGCUGGAUUGGCCGUCGGGCAUAGCAGGGUUGUGCCACAUCGACAGAGAUUUUUUUUUCCCAUUAUGGUGGAGGUCUGCAGUCUACUGGGUGCCAUUUUAGCAAUACAUGCUUAUACAAUACGAUCUUGGUUCCUCAUUAAAAAAAAUAUUUUAACUGGUGUUCAAACUCUGAGGUCAUGACUUCAUCAUAGUUAAAAGCUGUUUAAUUUUCACAUUGCCAACUUGGGAGUGCCUUUAGUCAAGCAUUUAUCGCCGGGACUUCCCGCUGUAGCGAUCUAGAACUAAAAUAGAAUAACAGCUGCCCCGUACUGCAUGAUAGGCAAGGAUGCCCCCUCGAUAGAUAAAUACAUAAAUCAAACAUGCAGAGGUUCUUUCAAAGCCACCUGGGAGUCUCCAAAAUGACCGGUGCCAGGGGGGAACUUUGGACUUUCUUUCCUGGAAUCUUCAUUCGCUGCAAAAGGCCGCGGGCCCCCGUGCGCUGAAAGUGGAGAAGCUGCUGAAAAGCCAAACUUGACCUCAGACACACGCCUUGUAACCAACUGGCGAGGAAAGACUGGAGCCCAAGUGACCCACGGACCGUGUGAUACUUGAUCAAGGUUGAUGCGACAGGCCACCCGGGAUAACCUCCACGUUCCACGUUGUCGGGCUAGAAAUACAAAGACGGACAGGAAAUGUGAAGUGACGAAGAUGAAGUUCCCUCGCCGAGUGUUGCCUGCAAACAUGUCACACACAAGGAGAGGAAUCGAGUUGUGCUUUCCUGAGCUUCAACAGCUUUUUAACAUGUCACCACCCCAGCCCUCCACACCCCGUCUGUCUGUCUCCUUUUCCAUAUCCGCCUCUGACCCCCUCUGCUUCUCAAGAAAACAGGUGCAAAGAAGACUAUCCAGACCCCCCCCCCCCACACACACACACACACACACACACACACACACUGACAUUCGCACACAUUUCCCUCAUCAGGCCUGCAUCCUGCCCUGCCCUUUUCAAAUCGGAACAUGCUGCCAAAGCGCAUGACAAAUUGAUUUCAAUUGUCGGCCUGCAGCGUCUUCAUAUUAAGAAGCAAAUAUGGCAUUUCGUUUGAUGGGGCAACAAGGGCACUGUUGCUAAAUUACUUUUCACAACCAAGUUGAACUACGUGCAUUUGGGAUGUGAUCAUGGUGAAGCAAAGACAAAUUAUCCCACCACAACUCUCGCUUUUUGUCAUAUACUGAAUGAAGCAAAUUUUGUAGAUGUGCUGGUUGUUCAUCAUGCUCAUGCCGCAGGGGGAAAGUUGUAGUUUAGGUUUGAAAUGUUGGAGCUGGCACCGAGUCCUGGGGCUUUUUUGACACACACGCACACGCGCGCGCGCA